GUAGGUGGCAAGCGUUGUCCGGAAUUAUUGGGCGUAAAGCGCGCGCAGGUGGUUCUUUAAGUCUGAUGUGAAAGCCCCCGGCUCAACCGGGGAGGGUCAUUGGAAGCUGGGGAACUUGAGUGCAGGAGAGGAAAGUGGAAUUCCACGUGUAGCGGUGAAAUGCGUAGAUAUGUGGAGGAACACCAGUGGCGAAGGCGACUUUCUGGCCUGUAACUGACACUGAGGCGCGAAAGCGUGGGGAGCAAACAGGGAUUAGAUACCCUGGUAGUCCACGCCGUAAACGAUGAGUGCUAAGUGUUGGGGGGGUUUUCCGCCCCCUCAGUGCUGCAGCUAACGCAUUAAGCACUCCGCCUGGGAGUACGGUCGCAAGACUG
rnacentral:rRNA from 1 species